GCUAGGCACUGUGGUGCAUGCCUGUAAUCCCAGCUGCUCAGGAGGCUGAGAUAGGAGGAUUGCAAGUUCAAGGCCAGUCUCAGCAACAUAGUGAAGCCCUAAGCAACUUUAAUGAGACCCUGUCUCAA
rnacentral:sRNA from 1 species